rnacentral:misc_RNA from 1 species
UCCGGGUUGAACCCGGCGGUCCCGCCUUUACGCGUUAGUAACUGUGAACAAGGGUUGCGCUCGUUGCGGGACUUAACCCAACAUCUCACGGCACGAGCUGACGACAGCCAUGCAACACCUGUGAUGGUUACCGACUUUACGGUUGGGACACCCUUUCAGGCGCCUACUUCCACCAUGUCAAGCCUGGGUAAGGUUCUUCGCUUUGCAUCGAAUUAAGCAACGCGCUCCGCCGCUUGUGCGGGCCCCCGUCAAUUCCUUUGAGUUUUAGCCUUGCGGCCGUACUCCCCAGGCGGCGGACUUAAUGCGUUAGCUUCGGCACAGAAGGCAUGACGCCCCCCACACCUAGUCCGCACCGUUUACGGCCAGGACUAC